rnacentral:lncRNA from 1 species
UUUUUUUUUAAUUUUUAUUUUUUGAAAUCCACUUCAGAGGAAUAAAAAAAAAGUUAUUAGUUGGAUACUUCAAGAACUGGUGAUUCUUAUUCUCAUGAUAAGAUUUUUAUUGCUGUUGUUUGUUUUUAAAUUUGGCAUUUCUUAUAUUUCAAAACUGUUUGCUGAUUUCCAGGAAAAGCACUUUGUCUAAAAGCACUUCUUAUUGACAAAUGGAACAUUGUGAUAUAUUGUACCACUUAAAAAAAUGUAAUUUAUGUUAAUAUAUUGGAAGGAUUUCAAUGUUGAGAUAUUUCAGUGGUUUCAAAUGUCCACAAAUUCUCCAAUACUUCCCCCUACCAAAGUACAACCUAACUGCCCUCCCCUUGAAUGUAGGUUUGACUGAGUGACUCACUUCUCUUUGAAGAAACAGAACAAAGUGGAAGUGAUAGGAUGUAACUUGGGACGUUAGGUCAUAAAAAUGAUCUCCCAUGGAUCACUCCCUGUGGAGGAAACCACCUGCUGUGUCCUGAAGACAAUCCAGCUUUCUACACAAAGGCCCAUGCUGAGGUAUCUCCUGCCCACAGCUACAUGAGUAGGCAUAGAAGCAGAUCCUCCAGCCCCACUCGAGUUUUCAGACGACUGCAGCCCCGAGCGGCCAGCUGCAACCUCAUGAGACACCCUGAGCCAGAACCAUCCAGCUAAGCUGCUCCCAGAUUCCUGACUAUCCAAAACUGUGAGAUGACAAAGUUGUUUUAAGCUUCUAAGUGUUGAGGAAAUCCAUUAUUCAGAGGAGAUAACUGAUACAGAUAAUCAUGGGUUUAUUUUUUUAAUCUAAUUUUAUUUUUUUCUUUGUAGGGCUGCCUCCACAGCAUACAGAGGUUCCCAGAGUAGAGUUCUAAUCGGAGCUACAGCUACCGGCCUACACCACAGCCACAGCAACAUCAGAUCCAAGAUGUGUCUGUGACCUACACCACAGCUCACAGCAACACCGGAUCUUGAACCCACUGAGUGAGCCCAGGGAUCAAACCUGAAUCCUCAUGGACACUAUGUCAGGUUCUUAACCUACUGAGCCACAAUGGAAACUACAAUAUUCAUAGUUUUAAAUCUAUGAUCAUUAAUUUCUAAAAGUGGCAAGAAAACUUGAGGCAAUUAUCAAAGUCAUGGUCUGGAACCCACUUUUCACUAAUGGCAGUGGACAUGAGUGUCAUUCCACUCUGUCAACUAGUUAUAUAACAAAUACUUACUAAAUUGUCUAUUACCAGGCAAUCAUUAUUCUAAGCCUUGGAAAUACAAAGACAAAGAGGAUAGGGUGCAUGUUUUUAAAAGUUUCAAAUCCAGUGUUCUCCACCAUGUUACCCACCAGAGAUGAUAAAAGGAUGGAUGCCAAUCUGAGGAGCCCUACCUAAUUGUGUGAAGAGUUGUUUAGGAGUUAUUUUGUGGAGUUCCCAUUGUGGCACAGCGGAAAUGAAUCUGACUAGGAACCAUGAGGUUGCUGGUUUGAUCCCUGAGUUAACCCUUACUCAGUGGGUUAAGGAUCCGGCGUUGCCAUGAGCUGUGGUGUAGAUUGAAGACGUGGCUCAGAUCCGGCAUUGCUGUGGCUCUGGCGUAGGCUGGCAGCUGUAGCUCUGAUUAGACCCCCAGCCUGGGAACCUCCAUAUGCUGAAAAUGUGGCCCUAAAACCAAAAAAAGAACUAUUUUCUGUUACAGGGAAAGACUAGAGGUGAAAUUCAAGAAAAGGCUCUGUCUGGGCCAAUUAUGAUUUUAGCAGGUAGGGUCCCAAACAAUGCCAGACCUGACAAACAGCUUCAGGCUUUUAAACCAAGGACAGUUGUCUCGGGGUGUGUGACAAAUGGAGUUUUGUGAAAUGGUCUGUCUGCCCACAGUCUAUCAUACAUAAGAACACUGUCAAUAACACCAUCCUCAGGGAUGGAGGACAGUGACAGCAAUGGUAGGGAAAAUAUUCCAUUAGUAAAACGUCCCCUAAUUAAUACUAAUCUGUUCCCUGGAAAAGGUGCUUUAGAGGAAAGAUUCCUCCCCCCACAUGCCAAACUGCUGAGCAUUAAUUUGGAAAAUUUCCCAUUUAGUUUCAAGAACUCUUAAAAAGCUUUGCUUAGUUAAAAACUAAAAAUGGAUCUGUUUCCUAGCUCAAAUAACAUAUAAAGAUGAGAUUUAUUUCAUAGGCAGCAUCAAUUCCUAAUUGAGCAUAUCAGUUCAAAGUACCUAUAUUCUCUUAUUCUCUGAAUUGACAUUCACUAUUCCCUCUUUCUCUUUAUCAUAAAAAUGCAUUUAUUAAGUACUCAGUUGCAUGUAAUCUUAGAAACUGGGAUACAACCACUGAUGUGGCCCUUGGCUUCCCUAAAACCUUGACAGCCAUGUCAGAUAAAAUUAGCAGGAAACAAAAAAUGCAGAAAGAACAGUGAGCGUAUCGUCACAUCAAUUCAUUUGGGAAACAGAAAUUUUAGGGUCAACUGGACAAUAUAAAGCACCAUGAAAGUGACACGCUGGUAGCUGACAUGAUGUGUCAACUAGGAAUCAUAGACUCAAUAAUUUGUCAAGUUCUCUUCAGCCUCGGGGCCCUGGUACCUGGCAGCCUCCUACUCAGCAUGUUCUUCUCUCUGCCUAGUUUCCAGCCUUUAAUCCUUCAGAUAUAAAAGCAUGUGUCUCUUUCUCAGGAAAGCACUCCUUGACUUGCCCAAAUAACAUCACAUUUUCUUACAAUGCAUCGCUUUCCCUAAAUUAUUUAUCGUGGUCCAUGGUUCCCUUAAUCACAAAGAUAGCACAUCCUAGUUCUGAGAUAUUCUCAUUCCCUAUCACCUUUUUUUUUUUUUUUUCCUCUCUCUCUUUAUGGCCACACCUGUGGCAUAUGGAAGUUCCCAGGCUGGGGGUCGAAUUGGAGUUGCAGUUGCCACCCUACACUGCAGCUCCAGCCACUUGGGAUCUGAGCUGCAUCUGCAAGCUAUGCCAAAGCUUUUGGCAAUGGCAGAUCCUUAACACAUUGAGCGGCCAGGGAUGGAACCCGUCUACUCACAGACACCAUGUUGGGUUCUUAACCCUGCUGAGCCACAAAGGAAAAUCCCGUAUCACCUUUCCUAUUACCUGUCACGGAUCACAGUUAUAUAUUCAUAGCAUUAUUUCAUGAACAUAUGACUACAAGCUUCAUGUAGCAUGGGGAGGGGCUCUUCUCUAGUGCCUGGCACAUUAUAGGUACCUAAUAAAGAUGUGAAUAAGUGAAUAAAUGAAUGAAUGAGCAGUACAGUGUGUGUUCAGUUAAGGUCUGAAGUUGGGUACAACCCAAAUUCUCACUAUCCAGUUAUGUGACCUUUGGCAUGCUUUUUUCCCCUCUAAGAUUUUGUUUCCUCGUGGGUAAAAUGGAGAU